rnacentral:rRNA from 2 species
UACGUAGGGUGCAAGCGUUGUCCGGAAUUACUGGGCGUAAAGAGCUCGUAGGCGGUUUGUCGCGUCGUCUGUGAAAACCAGCAGCUCAACUGUUGGCUUGCAGGCGAUACGGGCAGACUUGAGUAUUUCAGGGGAGACUGGAAUUCCUGGUGUAGCGGUGAAAUGCGCAGAUAUCAGGAGGAACACCGGUGGCGAAGGCGGGUCUCUGGGAAAUAACUGACGCUGAGGAGCGAAAGCGUGGGUAGCGAACAGG